GGAUGUAGCUCAGAGGUAGAGCACUUGUCUCAUAUGCAUGAAGUCUUUGGUUGAAUCCCUAACACCA
rnacentral:tRNA from 1 species